rnacentral:rRNA from 1 species
UACAGAGGGUGCGAGCGUUGUCCGGAAUCACUGGGCGUAAAGGGCGUGUAGGCGGCUGGGUAAGCCGCGUGUGAAAUCCCGGGGCUCAACCCCGGAAUGGCACGCGGGACUGCCUGGCUAGAGCAUGGUAGAGGCGAGUGGAAUUCCUGGUGUAGCGGUGGAAUGCGUAGAGAUCAGGAAGAACACCGGUGGCGAAGGCGGCUCGCUGGGCCAUUGCUGACGCUGAGGAGCGAAAGCGUGGGGAGCAAACAGG